rnacentral:rRNA from 1 species
CACGUAGGGUGCGAGCGUUGUCCGGAAUUAUUGGGCGUAAAGAGCUCGUAGGCGGUGUGUCGCGUCGGCCGUGAAAACCUGCAGCUUAACUGUGGGCUUGCGGUCGAUACGGGCAUCACUGGAGUUCGGCAGGGGAGACUGGAAUUCCUGGUGUAGCGGUGAAAUGCGCAGAUAUCAGGAGGAACACCGAUGGCGAAGGCAGGUCUCUGGGCCGAUACUGACGC